GUGCUCCCUUCGGCAGCACAUAUACUAAAAUUGGAAUGAUACAGAGAAGAUUAACAUGGCCCCUGUGCAAGGAUGAUAUGCAAAUUCAUGAAGUGUUCCAUAUUUAAA
rnacentral:snRNA from 1 species